rnacentral:lncRNA from 1 species
CUUUGUGAUGACUGAUAACCAAUUUUUCUUAAUAAAUAAUUAAGAUUGAUAUAAUUAAUAAUUUGAUUGAUUAUUAUGUUUCCAUCUUUGAAGCCUAAAAGAUCUUUGAUCUAGCACAUGGAAGCUUCUUUGGGUAGUUAAGAUUUGUGGUGUUAAAUGUGGUAAUGUGAUAUGUAGAAUUUAUGGCGUUGAGUAUGGUUGUUAGGUUAGAUGUGUGGUUAUAAUUUGUGUGGUAGUUAGGUUAAUGUAUGGUUGUGAUUAAGUUGUAACAAGUAUAAAUACCUUCUCUUUUAGUUGGUUUAAGCAACAAGAAAUAGUAAAGGUUCUGGGUACUAAAAGAGUUGUAAUUGAGGACUUGUAUUAAUUUCAUAAGAAAUAAAGAGUGUUUUUGAGUGUUUAAUCAUUCAAAUUCAACACAAUAUUGCUUGUGUGGAAUUGUCUUAGUUGCAAUGUCACUAAUACGAAUCACUUGAAAUUGUCAUUCUCACAUGCACUAUAUUAUAAGAACCACUGCCAUGAUUUAAUGAACAUAUGGUAAGGAGAAAGACCACUAUAUCAUGCAGAUAUGACAAGGAUCAUCAUCAUGACAUACACAAAUAAUAAUUAUAAAGACAAUUAUGUAAUGCAUAUAUGGCAAUAAUCAAAACCAUUACCAUAUACAAAUAGAGUAAAAAUCAAGGGGAUCAGCUUAUAAUGAAUCUUGAGUUAUAUCUAUGACGUUUGGGAACCCUUCAAUUCUUGAGUAAGUUUUUGAGAAUGAGUUUUACGCCCAUGAGCUUUUAUACGGAGCAGAGUCAAACAGACUAGUGGCCCUACAUUACCUUUAUAUGUGACAAUGAUUAGUUAAAAGAAGGAAUUGCACGUAACAGGGGUGCUAG